GACGAACGCUGGCGGCGUGCUUAACACAUGCAAGUCGAACGGAAAGGCCCUGCUUUUGUGGGGUGCUCGAGUGGCGAACGGGUGAGUAACACGUGAGUAACCUGCCCUUGACUUUGGGAUAACUUCAGGAAACUGGGGCUAAUACCGGAUAGGAGCUCCUGCUGCAUGGUGGGGGUUGGAAAGUUUCGGCGGUUGGGGAUGGACUCGCGGCUUAUCAGCUUGUUGGUGGGGUAGUGGCUUACCAAGGCUUUGACGGAUAGCCGGCCUGAGAGGGUGACCGGCGACAUUGGGACUGAGAUACGGCCCAGACUCCUACGGGAGGCAGCAGUGGGGAAUAUUGCACAAUGGGCGGAAGCCUGAUGCAGAAACGCCGCGAGCGGGAUGAAGGCCUUCGGGUUGUAAACCGCUUUCGCCUGUGACGAAGCGUGAGUGACGGUAAUGGGUAAAGAAGCACCGGCUAACUACGUG
rnacentral:rRNA from 1 species